AGACCAAAUUCGGAGAGGGAAAGAGACAAAAAAGAAACAAAGGAAGGGAGGGGGAGGGAGGGAGGGAGGGAGGGAGGGAGGGAGGAAGGAAGGAAGGAAGGAAGGAAGGAAGGAAGGAAGGAAGGAAGGAAGGAAGGAAGGAAGGAAGGAAGGAAGGAAGGAAGGAAGGAAGAAAAAGGAGAGGGAAGGAGGAAGGAAGGAAGAAAAAGGAGAGGGAAGGAGGAAGGAAGGAAGGAAGGAAGGAAGGAAGGAAGAAAAAGAGAAAGAAAGAAAGAAAGAAAAAAGAAAGAAAGAAAGAAGAAAGAAAGAAAGAAAGAAAGAAAGAAGAAAGAAAGAAGAAAGGAAAGAAGGAAGAAAAAGGAGAGGGAGGGAGGGAAGGAGGGAAGAAAGAAAGAAAGAAAGAAAGAAAGAAAGAAAGAAAGAAAGAAGAAAGAAGAAAGGAAGGAGGGAAGGAAGGAAGAAAAAGGAGAAAGAGAGGGAUGGAGGGAAGGAGGGAAGAAAGAGAAAAAAGAAAGAGAAAGAAAGAAGAAAGAAAGAGAAAGAAAGAAAGAAAGAAAGAAAGAAGAAAGAAAGAAAAAAGAAAGAGAAAGAAAGAAAGAAGAAAGAAAGAGAAAGAAAGAAAGAGAGAGAGAGAGAAAGAAAGGAGGAAGGAAGGAAGAAAAAGGAGAGGGAAGGAGGGAAGGAGGGAAGGAAGGAAGGAAGGAAGGAAGGAAGGAAGGAAGGAAGGAAGGAAGGAAGGGAGCCACAGGUGCCCAGCCAUGGCCAGAGCACGUCUGCUUUGCCCCGAAACGAUUUCUGUCCCGAGUCUGCACAUCUUCCUUAGGUAAACGUCAGGCUGUGAGCGCCCUCGGUCAUUCCACCCGGGAGCCGCCUCCCUGCUGCUCCCUGCCUCUCGGGAUCCCCUGGGUGUUUUUGCUGUGCUUUGGGCAGAGAAGAUGCCCUCCUCCCCGCAGCCCUCCGUCCCAUUGUCAUGCGUCUGUUGACCAUCGGUCAGGAGUCAGGAAGGGGCUGCGGGCACAGCCGUCUCCCCACGGGGACCUGGACUUUGGCCGCAUCCGUGCUGGGAUCUUCCAGGGGCCCCUGGGUCCGCGCAGGACGCCAGGGGCUCUGACGCUCACAGAGAGAGGCGCAGCUGCAUGA
rnacentral:lncRNA from 1 species